rnacentral:misc_RNA from 1 species
GAUGAAGAACGUAGCGAAAUGCGAUAAGAAAUGUGAAUUGCAGAAUUCAGUGAAUCAUCGAAUCUUUGAACGCACAUUGCGCCCGCCAGUAUUCUGGCGGGCAUGCCUGUUCGAGCGUCAUUUCAACCAUCAAGCCCCGGGCUUGUGUUGGGGACCUGCGGCUGCCGCAGGCCCUGAAAUGCAGUGGCGGGCUCGCUGUCACUCCGAGCGUAGUAGUUACAUCUCGCUCUGGGCGUGCUGCGGGUUCCGGCCGUUAAAAGCCUUAUUUACCCAAGGUUGACCUCGGAUCAGGUAGGAAGACCCGCUGAACUUAAGCAUAUCAAUAAGCGGAGGA